AACAUUGAAGUUGCAUCGCAAAGUACAUACUUUAAAGCCAUCUGGUUAGAAAAGACACGACAGGCAAAGAAGACAGAAUUUGAAAAUAUUUCAUCCAUCUCAGUGAAUGAUGUUCUUGAAAAAAUUUACAAGCCUGUGUAUGAAGCCAUCAGUGUGUCUUACAAACACCUCAAAGAAUUAUCAAUGCCAUUAUCUGACUUAGAAUGUCAGAUAAGCAGACUGACAAAGCAUGAACUACAAAUGUUGGGGAUGAUUUGCAGUAAGGAUAAUGACCAUGCCUGGAUCAGAACGACGGCGCUUCACAUCAAACGCUACAGAGAGCUCUGUUCUGUUAUGGAGCAUGCAGAGCUGUUAAUGGAAUUUAAGGAUGACUUCAAUUUGAAAGGGGACUUCAGCAACGUAGAAAAUUUCUGUUGUAUGAACAAAAAAGAGAGAACAUUGAGAGAUAUUACUCAUGACAUGGAAAACACUGCCAUUUCUUUGAAAAAUAUCCCCCAAUCAUUCCUUAAACAAUUACAAAUUUGCAACACAAAUGGUUUCAUCAAGUGGAUUAAGACUGUCAUCAAAGACAUAAGAGAACUUCCUGUGUUUGUUGACAUAGCUUCAAUCUCUGCUGGGGAAAAUAACAUGGACAUAGAUAAAGUUUGUGAUUUUAGAGAUGCAGUCUUGGCCUCUUCAUCAAUCAUUUAUGAUUU